CCAACAUGGCGCUCCUUUAUCCUGCCUUCCUCACACUUUCACACUCUCUCUCGCACGCCCUUUUCAAGCUUCCACCAAAAACCCUAGUGAUUCUCGUUCCUUUUCGGCAAACCCGAAUCGAAAUCAGGAUCUCUUAAGCCCUAAUCGCAGCUAUCUCACAACAUCGUGAGCUCCGUCUGCUAAAACUCAAAGAUUUUCGAUUAGGAAUCGAUUCGAUUAUCUUCUCCCUCAAAACCUCUCCGCCUCUUCCUCUGUUGCCUGCCGCUGCACCUCGUCAUCCUCCUCCUUUUCCUCUGUUGCCUACCGCUACACCUCUGGCAAAGGUACUCCGCAUUCAAGAAAGAGUGACCGAGUGAAUCAAAAUGAGUAAUUAAACAAUCAUCUGGAUGAUGGCUUUUCACCUUUGUCCACAGGUUAAUCUCUUCUCCAACGGUUCUCAUUUGUGUCUAGUUGACAUAUGAGAAUAUUGUAAAAGAUAUAUUUCAGUUGCUUUGAAGGUUAUUCACCAUCUGUUUCUUUGCAAGGGGGACUCUGACUCUGGUAGUAGAAGAGGCUUAGGCUUAGAUGUUGCUGGACUUUACAUUAAAAAACACUCUUUUGGUGCCCCAAAUCCUUUUGAAGUGGAGACACCAACAAUUCGUAAACGCUUCUCCCCCAUUUCUGUUCCCGUUUCCAUUCCAUCUGAAAAUGUUGCUUUCGGCACUACUCCUCUGAAGCCUAGAACUGUUGCAGAUGAAGAGAACAAGACUCCCAAGGUGAUGCCAAUCUUCACGCCAACGACACCAUCAACGGUGUUAGUUCCCAUGCAGACAACUAUGACCCCAGCUCCUCCUCCACCAGUUCCUUUCGCUACCAACUUAGUUCAAGAGAUUCCUGAGGAGAUUGAGUACUCAUUUGAGGAACGAAGAGCUGGUUUUGUGCUCCCAAAAACACAUGUCAAGUCGAUGAUACAAGUUUGAUAGGUUAAUUAGUUACAAUUUGGAGAGAACUUGAGUUAAAAUUGUUGUUUUAGCAUUUCUUUUUCCUUUUGUAUUGGAUUUUUUUCAACUUUCAAGUCAAUUGUAAUUGCCUUUCCUGGUUUUAUUA